rnacentral:misc_RNA from 1 species
GAUGAAGAACGUAGCGAAAUGCGAUACGUAGUGUGAAUUGCAGAAUUCAGUGAAUCAUCGAAUCUUUGAACGCACAUUGCACCUCUCGGUAUUCCGGGAGGUAUGCCUGUUCGAGCGUCAUUUGUACCCUCAAGCUCUGCUUGGUGUUGGGUGUUUGUUCCGCCUCUGUGUGUGAACUCGCCUCAAAACAAUUGGCAGCCGGCGUACUUGUUUCGGAGCGCAGCACAUUUUGCGAUCCAGAUCAACGUACAGCGGCAUCCAAGAAGCCUUAUUUAACGCUCUUGACCUCGGAUCAGGUAGGGAUACCCGCUGAACUUAAGCAUAUCAAUAUGCGGAGGA